rnacentral:rRNA from 1 species
GACGAACGCUGGCGGCGUGCCUAAUACAUGCAAGUUGAGCGCUGAAGGUUGGUACUUGUACCAACUGGAUGAGCAGCGAACGGGUGAGUAACGCGUGGGGAAUCUGCCUUUGAGCGGGGGACAACAUUUGGAAACGAAUGCUAAUACCGCAUAAAAACUUUAAACACAAGUUUUAAGUUUGAAAGAUGCAAUUGCAUCACUCAAAGAUGAUCCCGCGUUGUAUUAGCUAGUUGGUGAGGUAAAGGCUCACCAAGGCGAUGAUACGUAGCCGACCUGAGAGGGUGAUCGGCCACAUUGGGACUGAGACACGGCCCAAACUCCUACGGGAGGCAGCAGUAGGGAAUCUUCGGCAAUGGACGAAAGUCUGACCGAGCAACGCCGCGUGAGUGAAGAAGGGUUUCGGAUCGUAAAACUCUGUUGGUAGAGAAGAACGUUGGUGAGAGUGGAAAGCUCAUCAAGUGACGGUAACUACACAGAAAGGGACGGCUAACUACGUG